CCUACGGGGGGCUGCAGUGGGGAAUCUUGCACAAUGGGCGAAAGCCUGAUGCAGCGACGCCGCGUGAGUGAAGAAGUACUUCGGUAUGUAAAGCUCUAUCAGCAGGGACGAUAAUGACGGUACCUGACUAAGAAGCCCCGGCUAACUACGUGCCAGCAGCCGCGGUAAUACGUAGGGGGCAAGCGUUAUCCGGAUUUACUGGGUGUAAAGGGAGCGUAGGUGGUAGUGCAAGUCAGAUGUGAAAGCCCGUUGCUUAACAGCGGGAUUGCAUCAGAAACUGUAUUACUAGAGUACAGGAGAGGUAAGUGGAAUUCCUAGUGUAGCGGUGAAAUGCGUAGAUAUUAGGAGGAACAUCAGUGGCGAAGGCGGCUUACUGGACUGUAACUGACACUAAGGCUCGAAAGCGUGGGGAGCAAACAGGAUUAGAUACCCCUGUAGUC
rnacentral:rRNA from 2 species